CGUAGAGGUUCAUCAUCAGUUGAUAGGUACAGCAGCAGCUACAGUGGUAGCCGUGCACCUUCAAGACGCUCCGACUUUCGUGUGCUUGUGACUGGAUUACCACCAUCUGCUUCUUGGCAGGACCUUAAGGAUCACAUGCGCAAAGCUGGAGAUGUCUGCUUUUCUGAAGUUUUUCGUGACCGUGGAGGCAUGUCUGGGGUUGUUGAUUAUAGCAACUAUGAUGA